rnacentral:rRNA from 1 species
CCUACGGGAGGCAGCAGUGGGGGAUAUUGCACAAUGGGGGGAACCCUGAUGCAGCGACGCCGCGUGGGUGAAGGAGCGUUUCGGAGCGUAAAGCCCUAUCGGCAGGGAAGAAGGAGGACGGUACCUGACUAAGAAGCCCCGGCUAACUACGUGCCAGCAGCCGCGGUAAUACGUAGGGGGCAAGCGUGAUCCGGAUUUACUGGGUGUAAAGGGGGCGCAGACGGCAGCGCAAGCCAGGAGUGAAAGCCCGGGGCUCAACCCCGGGACUGCUCUUGGAACUGCGCGGCUGGAGUGCAGGAGGGGCAGGCGGAAUUCCUGGUGUAGCGGUGAAAUGCGUAGAUAUCAGGAGGAACACCAGUGGCGAAGGCGGCCUGCUGGACUGCGACUGACGUUGAGGCCCGAAAGCGUGGGGAGCAAACAGGAUUAGAUACCCCUGUAGUC